rnacentral:rRNA from 1 species
CCUACGGGAGGCUGCAGUAGGGAAUCUUCCACAAUGGGCGAAAGCCUGAUGGAGCAACGCCGCGUGGGUGAAGAAGGCCUUCGGAUCGUAAAACCCUGUUGUUAGAGAAGAAAGCGCGUGAGAGUAACUGUUCACGUUUCGACGGUACCUAACCAGAAAGCCACGGCUAACUCCGUGCCAGCAGCCGCGGUAAUACGUAGGUGGCAAGCGUUAUACGGAUUUAUUGGGCGUAAAGGGAACGCAGGCGGUCUUUUAAGUACGAUGUGAAAGCCUCGGGCUUAACCGGGGUAGUGCAUUUGAAACUGGGAGACUUGAGGGCAGAAGAGGAGAGUGGAACUCCAGGUGUAGCGGUGAAAUGCGUAGAGAUAUGGAAGAACACCAGUGGCGAAGGCGGCCCUCUGGUCAGAAACUGACGCUGAGGUGCGAAAGCGUGGGUAGCAAACAGGAUUAGAUACCCCAGUAGUC